UUUGUCCCUCUUGCCCUUCUGCCCUCUGUCAUUUGAAGGUCUCUUGGAAAAGCCUGCUGGUGGUCUCACUGGGGAUAGGACAGUAUCACACCGGAUGCCUCCAGUUCUCGUGGAGGGGCUGUUCUGCAGCUGUGGGCCAGGACGGCCAUAGAGUCAAUGAGGAAAAACACCUGGAUGGUCACCCAGCCUCUGAGAAGACUUUGCACAAGCUGCUGAGGACACUAAGGCUGGAGACAUGGGACAUGGAUGCCCUGUGAUCAAUUAAGUUGGUUAACGUCACCAGCGUAGAUGAUGUCAACGCUUCACCCUCUGGAGGCCCCAGAAAGCAGCUUUCCUUCACACGCCGCCGGACUGUCCACUGAUGGAGGCGGAUGGAUGCUCUUGGCCGCAUUUCUCGGCACUCAGGUUGUGACUGUCCCAGGCUUCCUGUUAAAUGCAUUCCUGGUCCGAAUAGCUUCACCCACGUGCUCAGGGCAGCGGGUGGAGUGCCAUCUCCACAUUUUUCUGUAGGAAACCCUCCAAGGAGGUGCUGCCUCCUCCUUCGGGCAGUGAAAACUCCUCAGCAAACUGGGACAUAGGUGCCAGAUGUUCAUCAGGACUACCCUGGAAAGAAGUCCAGGCCAUCCAGAUCAGGGAGGCUGGGUCUGAAGCUGGGUCUGCCAAGGCCUGGUUUCUGUCCAAGCCUCACUAGGGGAGGGACUUAUGGUGCAAACUCCCCAUUCCCUCUGGUGUGUGCGUUGCAGCCGUGAUGCUGUUUGCCUCAACUUAUGGGUCUUCUCUGGGCCCAGAUUGAACCUUCCUAUCUGUUUCCACUAGCUUUGUAUGCCAUAUGGCAUUUUACAGCCCCAUACUAUGUAGGUAACAGAAACAACAGCACUUGCAAACUACAUAUAUUUCAAAAAACAACUAGGUCUUUUGAUUAAAUUAUAAGCUUUAAUUAUAUUCUAACUAAUUAGAACAUGUUUAACAUAGACCUCUCCCAUACCUGAAAAACUGAAUGAAAAGAAACUUACAAAUGAACCCUCUGUAGGAUUACCAUUAGGUUAAAAAGAUAACUAAAAAAUAUACUAUUUUAGGCCAAGUGUGAUGGCUCACACCUGUAAUCCCAGUGCUUUGGAAGGCUGAGGCAGGAAGACUGCUUGAGGCCAGGAAUUUGAGACCGGCCUGGACAAGACAGUGAGACUC
rnacentral:lncRNA from 1 species